UUCUCUAUCUCUGUUCCUCUCUAUCACUCGCUCGCUCUCUCUCUCAUUCUCUUUCUCAUUCUCUCUCUCUCGCUCUCCGUUCUUUUCCUUUCUUCCUUCCUUCCUUCCACAACUACUUCUUGUGUUCUUCAAAUCACACAUGGACUUAAACGGGGAUGUACACGAUCACAGUUUCUAGGUACAACUGGCCACAACAAAUAUUUUGGAAUGAUGUAAUCGUAGGAAAACGUGCGAAGAGCAAUGCAGAGAAAUGACAAGCUUUUACAUGCGACCGUCCUGGCCAUUCUUAACCUUCUACUUAUUUCUGCGCGAAUGGGCUUGUCCCUUUCGCCCCCUUUGUGUUAAUGGAUUUACCACGCCACGUUUAUAACUCAAUGGAAAAUCUUUGGAUUAAUUUCGCGACGUUGGAACGUUUUAGUUUCCACCCUGCUUACCUUGGGGUGAAAAGGACACGGUUUGUUUUUAAACCUUUUUUGUAUUUCCUAUUCUAUAAACUUUAUUUACUACAAACACGAACUGACUUCGUUUCAUGGAUGAAUUCGCUACAGCAGUUGCGACAUUGAUGCAAACUGGCAGAUCCCGCCACAAGAUGCAAAUAAAUAAAUAAAUAAAAACAAUAAAUUUUAAAAACAUGUUCAAAAAAGAUAACCAACAAAACAAGAAAAUAAAGCAACCACUAAACAAACAGAUACAACAAACAUUACAAACAAAUAAGUAAUGAAUUUGUGAAAAAAAAAUAAUAAUAAUAAAAUGAGUUUUCUUAUGGAGUAACCCAUACACAAUGUUUGGACAUUCGUCAAGUCGAAGAAAAUAAGUGAUACGGGAGAUGUGAGUUUAGGAUAGUGUUGCUUGAAGAACGCAUACAGAAACAGGCAAGAAGGAAACUAAUAAAAAAUUGCAUCAAUAAAAUAAAAGAUGCCCUAAAGAGAGCACUGGGGCAAGACACUGUCCCCAGUGUGUGGGUCUCAAAUCAUUAGCGCGUCAGACAAAUCCUUAUCUGCAUUUUUAUCGAGCUCUUCGUUCCAUGUUCAAACCCUGCCGAGGUCUACUUUGCUUUUCAUCCAUCGGGAUCGAUAAGAUAAAUAGCAGUCAAGUACUAGGGGCAAUGAAAUCGACUUAAUCCUUUCUCUCCCUUCAAAAAUGCUGGCCUUGUAGAUGCGAAGAAGGAUGUGAUUUUCAUGAAAGUAUAGGGCAGUGUCUAUCUGAUUUUCACACCGAUGACAAAUUGAGGUGAUUCGUCAGUUUGGUGGAUCACAGCUAUGAUCGUUGGCUCAUAACACAAUACUUAGGCCUACGCAACAUAGUAGAGAUA